rnacentral:rRNA from 1 species
CCCUUAGAUGUUCUGGGCUGCACGCGCGCUACACUGAUGCGUUCAACGAGUUUUUAGCUUAUCUGAUAAGAUUGGCUAAUCUUCUGAAAACGCAUCGUGAUGGGAAUAGAUUAUUGUAAUUAUUAAUCUUCAACGAGGAAUUCCUAGUAGGUGUGAAUCAUCAGUUCACGCCGAUUACGUCCCUGCCCUUUGUACACACCGCCCGUCGCUCCUACCGAUUGAGUGAUCCGGCGAAUAAUUCGGACCGGUGAGCUUCCAGGUUUACCUGGCUGCUUGCUGGAAAGUCUAGUGAACCUUAUCACUUAGAGGAAGGAGAAGUCGUAACA